rnacentral:rRNA from 1 species
UACGUAGGGGGCUAGCGUUGCUCGGAAUCACUGGGCGUAAAGCGCACGCAGGCGGAUUGCUAAGUCAGGGGUGAAAUCCUGGAGCUCAACUCCAGAACUGCCUUUGAUACUGGCGAUCUCGAGUCCGGGAGAGGUGAGUGGAACUGCGAGUGUAGAGGUGAAAUUCGUAGAUAUUCGCAAGAACACCAGUGGCGAAGGCGGCUCACUGGCCCGGUACUGACGCUGAGGUGCGAAAGCGUGGGGAGCAAACAGG